rnacentral:rRNA from 1 species
GACGAACGCUGGCGGCGUGCCUAAUACAUGCAAGUAGAACGCUGAAGGAGGAGCUUGCUUCUCUGGAUGAGUUGCGAACGGGUGAGUAACGCGUAGGUAACCUGCCUGGUAGCGGGGGAUAACUAUUGGAAACGAUAGCUAAUACCGCAUAAGAGUAGAUGUUGCAUGACAUUUGCUUAAAAGGUGCAAUUGCAUCACUACCAAAUGGACCUGCGUUGUAUUAGCUAGUUGGUGGGGUAACGGCUUACCAAGGCGACGAUACAUAGCCGACCUGAGAGGGUGAUCGGCCACACUGGGACUGAGACACGGCCCAGACUCCUACGGGAGGCAGCAGUAGGGAAUCUUCGGCAAUGGACGGAAGUCUGACCGAGCAACGCCGCGUGAGUGAAGAAGGUUUUCGGAUCGUAAAGCUCUGUUGUAAGAGAAGAACGAGUGUGAGAGUGGAAAGUUCACACUGUGACGGUAUCUUACCAGAAAGGGACGGCUAACUACGUG